rnacentral:rRNA from 1 species
UUAACGCUGAGGUGUGAUGACGAGGCACUACGGUGCUGAAGUAACAAAUGCCCUGCUUCCAGGAAAAGCCUCUAAGCAUCAGGUAACACGAAAUCGUACCCCAAACCGACACAGGUGGUCAGGUAGAGAAUACCAAGGCGCUUGAGAGAACUCGGGUGAAGGAACUAGGCAAAAUGGUGCCGUAACUUCGGGAGAAGGCACGCUGAUAUGUAGGUGAAGUGGUUUACCCAUGGAGCUGAAAUCAGUCGAAGAUACCAGCUGGCUGCAACUGUUUAUUAAAAACACAGCACUGUGCAAACACGAAAGUGGACGUAUACGGUGUGACGCCUGCCCGGUGCCGGAAGGUUAAUUGAUGGGGUUAUCCGUAAGGAGAAGCUCUUGAUCGAAGCCCCGGUAAACGGCGGCCGUAACUAUAACGGUCCUAAGGUAGCGAAAUUCCUUGUCGGGUAAGUUCCGACCUGCACGAAUGGCGUAAUGAUGGCCAGGCUGUCUCCACCCGAGACUCAGUGAAAUUGAACUCGCUGUGAAGAUGCAGUGUACCCGCGGCAAGACGGAAAGACCCCGUGAACCUUUACUAUAGCUUGACACUGAACACUGGUCCUUGAUGUGUAGGAUAGGUGGGAGGCUUUGAAGUGUGGACGCCAGUCUGCAUGGAGCCAUCCUUGAAAUACCACCCUUUAAUGGCUGGUGUUCUAACGUAGACCCGUAAUCCGGGUUGCGGACAGUGUCUGGUGGGUAGUUUGACUGGGGCGGUCUCCUCCUAAAGAGUAACGGAGGAGCACGAAGGUUAGCUAAUCCUGGUCGGACAUCAGGAGGUUAGUGCAAAGGCAUAAGCUAGCUUGACUGCGAGAGUGACGGCUCGAGCAGGUGCGAAAGCAGGUCUUAGUGAUCCGGUGGUUCUGAAUGGAAGGGCCAUCGCUCAACGGAUAAAAGGUACUCCGGGGAUAACAGGCUGAUACCGCCCAAGAGUUCAUAUCGACGGCGGUGUUUGGCACCUCGAUGUCGGCUCAUCACAUCCUGGGGCUGAAGUAGGUCCCAAGGGUAUGGCUGUUCGCCAUUUAAAGUGGUACGCGAGCUGGGUUUAGAACGUCGUGAGACAGUUCGGUCCCUAUCUGCCGUGGGCGCUGGAGAAUUGAGGGGGGCUGCUCCUAGUACGAGAGGACCGGAGUGGACGCAUCACUGGUGUUCGGGUUGUCAUGCCAAUGGCAUUGCCCGGUAGCUAAAUGCGGAAGAGAUAAGUGCUGAAAGCAUCUAAGCACGAAACUUGCCCCGAGAUGAGUUCUCCCUGACUCCUUGAGAGUCCUGAAGGAACGUUAAAGACGAUGACGUUGAUAGGUCGGGUGUGUAAGUGUAGCGAUACAUUGAGCUAACCGAUACUAAUGAACCGUGAGGCUUAACCUU